rnacentral:tRNA from 1 species
GCCUGGGUGGCUCAGUCAGUUAAGUGUCUGACUUCAGCUCAGGUCAUGAUCUCACGGUCUGUGGGUUCCAGCCCCACAUCGGGCU